UACGGAGGGGGCUAGCGUUGUCCGGAAUCAUUGGGCGUAAAGAGCGUGUAGGCGGCUCGGUAAGUCCGCUGUGAAAGUCCAGGGCUCAACCCUGGAAUGCCGGUGGAAACUGUCGAGCUAGAGUCCGGAAGAGGCGAGUGGAAUUCCUGGUGUAGUGGUGAAAUGCGUAGAGAUCGGGAGGAACACCUGUGGCGAAGGCGGCCCCCUGGGCCGGCCCUGACACUGAGACGCGAAGGCGUGGGGAGCGAACGGG
rnacentral:rRNA from 1 species